rnacentral:snRNA from 1 species
AUAUCCACAUUAGGGAUAUUCGCAGGGGUCAACCCAACCCUAGUGCAAUGGAAGGGUCUCGCCCUGGGAGAACCGCCUUCAUG